rnacentral:tRNA from 1 species
CGUGAUUGCUCAGUCGGUAAAGUGUUGGACUGCUAAUACAAAGGUCACGAGUUCAAAUCCACUU